rnacentral:tRNA from 1 species
GGGCCCGUAGUCUAGCCUGGUAGGAUGCCCAGGGGCAAAAGCCCCGCACACGCCUGACGAUGACGUGAAUCAACUUCGUGAAUCAGAACGCGGGAGAUCCCGGGUUCAAGUCCCGGCGGGCCCACCA